ACUUAAAUAGCUUAUGAAGAGUAUAAUAUUGAAGAUAUUAAGGAGAUUUAAAUCUUUAAGUA
rnacentral:tRNA from 1 species